UAACAAGGUCUCCGUAGGUGAACCUGCGGAGGGAUCAUUACCAAGUACAACCCGUCUCCGGACGGGCUGCUACCAACCCUUUGUUGUCCGACCGCGUUGCCUCCGGGGCGACCCUGACCUUCGGGUUUUGGGGGACCCCGGGUGGACACCUAAACUCUGCGUAACUUUGCAGUCUGAGUAAAAAGAUUAAAUCAAUCAAAACUUUCAACAACGGAUCUCUUGGUUCUGGCAUCGAUGAAGAACGCAGCGAAAUGCGAUAAGUAAUGUGAAUUGCAGAAUUCAGUGAAUCAUCGAAUCUUUGAACGCACAUUGCGCCCCGUGGUAUUCCGCGGGGCAUGCCUGUUCGAGCGUCAUUUCACCACUCAAGCCUCGCUUGGUAUUGGGCGACGCGGUCCGCCGCGCGCCUCAAAUCGACCGGCUGGGUCGAUCGCACCCUCAGCGUUGUGGAAACUAUUCGCUAAAGGAGUUGUGGUCGGUCACGCCGUGAAACAAACCAUCUUUCAAUGGUUGACUCGGA
rnacentral:rRNA from 1 species